AACACCCAAAAGGCGAAGCGGCGCACUCUGGGAACUGUAGUCGUCCUCCGCACGGCCAGGGAAAAGGUGGAGCCCUUACAAGGAGGCCCCAGGAUGGCAUUGUGGGAGUUGUAGUCCAGCUCCUCCUAAGAGCCUUGGGCAAACGGCAGAUAAGCGAGCGGGCGGGGCUUUUGUGCCCAGCAAGAAUCAUAGACUAAGCGGCGAGAGGCGCCCACCAGGGAAGAGGCAAGAAGCGCGAGAUCGUGUGUGAAAGUCGCUCUCCUCUGUAAAUGAAUUUCCUGGACAGAAUCCAUUACCUGGCCAGUGGAAGGCUCCUUAGCAGAUUUUUCACGACCUUCUAGGCACCAGGUGCUGAGACAGAGAACUCAACAAUGAACAAGAUAGCUCCCAGUCUUAGAUGGUGGUUCUUAAACUUUAUUGUGCAUCAGGAUCACCUGAAAAGCUUGUUAAAACACAGACUGCUGGGCCCAACCCCCAGAGUUUCUGAUUCAGUUAAGUCUAGGAUCAGGCUUGAGAAUUUGCAUUUCUGACAAGUUCCCAGGUGAUGCUGAUGUUGCUGGUUCAGGGACCACAUGUCUCCUGAAGUUGUUUUAACACUAUUGUGGAAGGACUUUAUUCCUGCUACAAGGAUUCCAAGAACUGGUGGGAGAAGUAUAUUUUCUGGACAGCAUGCUCUGCCAAGUCUCUAAAGCACAUUUAUGCUGCCCGCCCUGGGCCACUAACAGCACAUCAUCUUCCUGGCGUCUCAAGAAAUGUCACUGCAUCCUCUUACCCCUUCUAACUUGUGGUUGUGUAUCUUUCAAUUUAUUCCAUUAAAACUUUAGGUCCUGUAUACAUCCUAUUUGUUGUACACCCUAUACAAAAUGUCAACAGCAGUUAUUCUCUGAUAUUGGAAUUAUGGUUAAUUUUUAAACCUUUUUGCUUGUCUGCAUCAUCUAACAUUUCCAUAAUGAACAUUUUCAUUAUGAACAAGAGUUAAUUAUAUAAUAAGGAUAUUAAAGUAAAAUAAAUAUAUAUCAAAUUGUGUUAGGCUCUGUGAUGCGGGCACAGGUGCUAAGAAGUAGUACGGAUAUGGACUUGCCUUUAAGAGGUGUAUGAUCUCAUUCAUACAUACAUUGGAAAAACAUUUAGCAAUAAGACAAGCUAUUCAGGAAAGUGUUCACCGAGAACUAAAUGUACAGUUGGCAAGUACUCUGGAAGGAAAAAAUGACUAGGCUGAGUGGCCCUAGAAGGAGCAUUUGGGCCCAGCCUUGGAUGAUAAACCUGCCAGAGACUAAGCAGAGGGCGAGGCAGGAUGCAAGGGUCUCUGCAAAUCCCCAGUAUACGUAUAGGUGCUCAGUGAACACUGAAGAAUUGAACACUUAUUGAAUUCAUAUAGAAACUUCACUCAGGCACCAGUACAUUCAGCAUAACAGUGGCUCAUACCCAAGACACAUAAAUUGAAACCAAAAUUAAUUUCAUUGUGGGUUUAUGACAAGUCAAGAAUGGGAAAAAAUGUCAUCUUCUUUUACGUGAUUUCUUCAUUGAUGAUUACGUCUCAAAAGUGCAUCUGUGGGUUUGCAAAGAAAGACCCAUCUGGACUGGACACCUCUUAGGUGUGUUCUCCUCCCCUUUUGCCCUUAAUUAAGAUGGGGGAGUUCUUACUGGUCUUGU